AGAGUUUGAUCCUGGCUCAGGACGAACGCUGGCGGCGCGCCUAACACAUGCAAGUCGAACGAGCGAGAGAGAGCUUGCUUUCUCGAGCGAGUGGCGAACGGGUGAGUAACGCGUGAGGAACCUGCCUCAGAGAGGGGGACAACAGUUGGAAACGACUGCUAAUACCGCAUAAGCCCACGACCCGGCAUCGGGUAGAGGGAAAAGGAGCAAUCCGCUUUGAGAUGGCCUCGCGUCCGAUUAGCUAGUUGGUGAGGUAACGGCCCACCAAGGCGACGAUCGGUAGCCGGACUGAGAGGUUGAACGGCCACAUUGGGACUGAGACACGGCCCAGACUCCUACGGGAGGCAGCAGUGGGGAAUAUUGCACAAUGGGGGAAACCCUGAUGCAGCGACGCCGCGUGGAGGAAGAAGGUCUUCGGAUUGUAAACUCCUGUUGUUGAGGAAGAUAAUGACGGUACUCAACAAGGAAGUGACGGCUAACUACGUGCCAGCAGCCGCGGUAAAACGUAGGUCACAAGCGUUGUCCGGAAUUACUGGGUGUAAAGGGAGCGCAGGCGGGAAGACAAGUUGGAAGUGAAAUCCAUGGGCUCAACCCAUGAACUGCUUUCAAAACUGUUUUUCUUGAGUAGUGCAGAGGUAGGCGGAAUUCCCGGUGUAGCGGUGGAAUGCGUAGAUAUCGGGAGGAACACCAGUGGCGAAGGCGGCCUACUGCGCACCAACUGACGCUGAGGCUCGAAAGUGUGGGUAGCAAACAGGAUUAGAUACCCUGGUAGUCCACACUGUAAACGAUGAUUACUAGGUGUUGGAGGAUUGACCCCUUCAGUGCCGCAGUUAACACAAUAAGUAAUCCACCUGGGGAGUACGACCGCAAGGUUGAAACUCAAAGGAAUUGACGGGGGCCCGCACAAGCAGUGGAGUAUGUGGUUUAAUUCGACGCAACGCGAAGAACCUUACCAAGUCUUGACAUCCUGCGACGGACAUAGAAAUAUGUUUUUCCUUCGGGACGCAGAGACAGGUGGUGCAUGGUUGUCGUCAGCUCGUGUCGUGAGAUGUUGGGUUAAGUCCCGCAACGAGCGCAACCCUUAUGGUCAGUUACUACGCAAGAGGACUCUGGCCAGACUGCCGUUGACAAAACGGAGGAAGGUGGGGAUGACGUCAAAUCAUCAUGCCCUUUAUGACUUGGGCUACACACGUACUACAAUGGCGUUAAACAAAGAGAAGCAAGACCGCGAGGUGGAG
rnacentral:rRNA from 1 species